UUUUAUCACAAAUAUACAAACAACCUCCCCACACUUAAGAUGUACAUUGUCCUCAAUGUAUAAACAGAUAUAAGCACAAAAUAAACACAAUAUCAAAAGAGAGGGAGAUAACUAAAACUGCCCUAAAUUUGGAUGAAAUUGCUAGAAGAGUGAAAACUAGGAUCGUGAGCAAAUAUAAAUGACGUGUAUGUUUCCGACCAAACUAAUAAGAAGAUAAAGAAAAAUAAAUAAGAAGACAAAGAAAUUAUAAACUCGAAUAAAAAACUAUUAAAAUAAUAAAAACAACAACAUAGUUCAAAAGAAAAAUAAAAAUAAAAAAAGUCUUACAAAUCAAAAUAAAAC
rnacentral:lncRNA from 1 species